GGCGAUAUCCGCACGAGCCCCUGAAGUUCGGUUAUCCCUACAACGGAAGAGGUCGCUGGUUCGAAUCCAGCCGUCGCCG
rnacentral:tRNA from 1 species